rnacentral:rRNA from 1 species
AUUGAACGCUGGCGGCAGGCCUAACACAUGCAAGUCGAGCGCGCGGCGGACGCGUGAGUAAUGUCUGGGAAACUGUCUGUUGGAGGGGGAUAACUACUGGGAACGGUAGCUAAAACACCAUACCCUCGGAUGUGCCCAGAUGGGAUUAGCUAGUGGGUGUGGUAACGGCUCACCCCUGCGACGAUCUCUAGCUGGUCUGAGAGGAUGACCAGCCACACUGGAACUGAGACACGGAGCAGACUACUACGGGAGGCAGCAGUGGGGAAGAUUGCAAAAUGGGCGCAAGCCUGAUGCAGCAAUGCCGCGGGUAGGAAGAAGGCCUUCGGGUUGUAAAGUACUUUCAGCGGGGAGGCGUUACCCGCAGAAGAAGCACCGGCUAACUCCGUGCCAGCAGCCGCGGUAAUAC